CACGCGCUAACUAGUGCGACCUAGAAAGUUAUGGAGGUGUAGGCAUGGUCUACGUAGGCCGGUUCAAAUGUGCGCAUACAUGUUCUUGCUUAAACCAUCCUCUCGCUCACGGGCCUGUGUUUUUUCUGAUGGAGUGAAAUGCGGAGCGUUCGCUCCCAAUGGGGGGAAACUUUGCUGAGUCUGAGAGUCAACGGGAGAAAGUCUGGAAUCCUCGGAUUACAUCAUCGCCCAUGAUGUCAUCCUUCUAGGGUGACUUUGGCACGUGAGACUGAUCAAGCGGAGUCAAGCCCAGAUUUUACUCCAAAGUCUCGACACGCCAUCAAUAAACGGCUUCAGGGUGAUCUGUGGCCACCUCUCUCCAGCCCCAGCACUGUUCCUGUCUGUCCAAAACUCUCGGACGGCACCACCUGAUUGGACGUUUCCCGUCCUCCUCUGACGAUGGUCCAGUGAUGGAUGGCAGGCCCGGUGUGAUUGUGUGUGUGUGUGUGUGUGUUUAUGUUAGGGCAGACACAAAGGCUUUUGAUGAGGGCUAACGGCUGAUAGUCAGACUGACGUGAACCCCUUUAACUUCUCCUUAAGACACCACUCCUGCAACACAGCCAGCGUUCAUUUGGGGAGCCUGGGCUGGUUGCCCGUGGGUCAUGAAUCUGGUGGUUAUUAUCACCCCUACACCACCCCCCCCCCCCCCCCAGACUUGAUUGAAGACAGCCUAUUGAAGGCAGCUUCUACAAGAUGCCGGUGUUCACAAUUUGUUUCCACUGACGGUACAUUUGGUCACUCUAGGGCUUUUUAAACAUGUGCCCCUCCUCCAUCAAAAUAAACAAGGCUGCACCCAUGUCGUGUGACAGAGAGUUCUGCUUUAUCAGUCAAUCUGUAAACAAACUCUCUCUGUGCCACUUUUCAGCUCAGGACAAAUGCACUGAUGAAAGCUUAGCAAAAGAGUAUGGCAGGAGUUUUUUUCUCCCAUUUAUAUUUAAACAGCUUUUAACCAUAGCUUGGCCAGAAACAUACAUGUGCACUCACAACUAGAACACUGGUUGUCAGAAGCAACAGUAGGUUUCAAGUGAGUGGGUGUGUAAAUGUGUGUUUACACAUGUGUGUCUUUAUGUUGUGUGUGCGUGUCUGUGUGUGUGUGUGAGUGUGUGUAGAUGCUUGUGUGUGUAUUUUCUGUAUGUAUGCUUGGUUGUGUAUUUAGUGUGUGUGUGUGUGUGUAUGUGUGUGUGUUCUUGCUGUGCGACCUGCAAACACAGACAGCGCUUAUGACUGGGAGUGGCUCAGAGCAGAGUGAAUAGGAGUGUUUGCAGAGGCUGUGUGUGUAAAUCAGAUGAGAUGAAAUGAGAAGGCUCACAACACAACACAGAAAAGAACAACAAACACAUAACACAACACAACACAACACAGAAAAGAACAACAAACACAUAACACAACACGGAGCACAGCACAACACAGCCCAUAGAUCAGCACAGCACAGGGCAGCGGACUUCCCCAGAGGCCGAGAGCUGUACAUGCACAUGCACAUGGCACAGCACCAGAGGGAGAACACAGCACUCAGCAUGGACUCAGACACAAACUCAUGUGGAUGGGAGAGAGACGUGACUUCUGACUGAACAUCUGGAUCACAAAAUCAGUUUAGAAAUCUGUUUGUAUCCCCUGCUACACAUUAGUGCUCCCUGAGUCAUUUAUGGACACCGCUGCAGCCUCCCCCACGCCAUUUCUUCCUGAACAAGUCACAUUGUUGUUACAAAGUAUGCUCUACCACGUCCCUCAAGUCCAGAAGAAAGAAACAGAGAUUUUGGAACACUUUAUAUUUUUCAUUGCUGUUUUCUUAUUGGUGGUAACUUUUUGAUCGAUUUUUGUGACACUUUCUUUAAACAGUCAUGCUCAUAUAGCAACUUUGAAAAAAAGAGACUGUACACUUUAAAAAAAAAAAAAAAACUUUUAUAAGAAGAAUGAAUCAUUCCAUGUCAGUGCUUAUAUAACCAAAUAAAAAGAUACAGAGAUACAGUA